rnacentral:rRNA from 1 species
AUUGAACGCUGGCGGCAGGCCUAACACAUGCAAGUCGAGCGAGCGGCGGACGGGUGAGUAAUGUCUGGGAAACUGCCUGAUGGAGGGGGAUAACUACUGGAAACGACUGCUAAUACCGCAUACUGAAGGAGGGGAUUGCGUCUGAUUAGCUAGUUGGAGGGGUAACGGCCCACCAAGGCGAUGAUCAGUAGCCGGUCUGAGAGGAUGAACGGCCACAUUGGGACUGAGACACGGCCCAGACUCCUACGGGAGGCAGCAGUGAGGAAUAUUGGUCAAUGGGCGUUAGCCUGAACCAGCCAAGUAGCGUGAAGGAUGAAGGUCUAUGGGUCGUAAACUUCUUUUAUAUAAGAAUAUGUAUUAUAUGAAUAAGGAUCGGCUAACUCCGUGCCAGCAGCCGCGGUAAUAC